rnacentral:rRNA from 1 species
CAGUCGCCGCGGGAAUAUGUAGGUGGCAAGCGUUGUCCGGAAUUAUUGGGCGUAAAGCGCGCGCAGGCGGAUCAGUUAGUCUGUCUUAAAAGUUCGGGGCUUAACCCCGUGAUGGGAUGGAAACCGCUGAUCUAGAGUAUCGGAGAGGAAAGUGGAAUUCCUAGUGUAGCGGUGAAAUGCGUAGAUAUUAGGAAGAACACCAGUGGCGAAGGCGACUUUCUGGACGAAAACUGACGCUGAGGCGCGAAAGCCAGGGGAGCGAACGGGAUUAGAUACCCGAGUAGUCCCUGUCUCUUAUACA